rnacentral:rRNA from 1 species
AGUGAACGCUGGCGGCAGGCCUAACACAUGCAAGUCGAACGGACACACAGUAAGCUUUCUCCCCUAAGGGUGGCGAGUGGCGGACGGGUGACACAUACAUCAGCAUCUUCUUUUUCUUGGGGAAAUCGUGGAGAACGUUACGCAUAUACCGCAAUAUAUUUAACGGUAAAGUCCGGUGAUCUUAGGACCUUGUGCGGUCAAAUGUGGCGAUAUCCGUGUCGCAUUUUGGAGUUGGCAAGGUAAAGGCUCACCAAGGCAACGAGGCGUAGCCGGUCUGAGAGGGUGAUCGGCCACACUGGAACUGAGACACGGUCCAGACUCCUACGGGAGGCAGCAGUGGGGAAUAUUAGGCAAUGGGCGCAAGCCUGAUCGAGCAAUGCCGCGUGGGUGAUGAAGGCCUUCGGGUUGUAAAGCCCUGUUAUUAGGAAAGAACAACUGUGUAUGUAAACCCCGCUGUUUUGACGGUACCCAAAGAAUAAGCAACGGCUAACUUCGUG